GACAGAGGGUGCAAACGUUGUUCGGAAUUACUGGGCGUAAAGCGCGUGUAGGCUGCUCGGUAAGUCGGAUGUGAAAGCCCUGGGCUCAACCUAGGAAGUGCAUUCCAAACUUCCGAGCUGGAGUGCUGGAGAGGAAGGCGGAAUUCUCGGUGUAGAGGUGAAAUUCGUAGAUAUCGAGAGGAACACCGGUGGCGAAGGCGGCCUUCUGGACAGCGACUGACGCUGAGACGCGAAAGCGUGGGGAGCAAACAGG
rnacentral:rRNA from 1 species